CAAAGAUUAAGCCAUGCAUGUCUAAGUAUAAGCAAUCUAUACUGUGAAACUGCGAACGGCGCVSBBAAUCAGUUAUAGUUUAUUUGAUGGUACCUUACUACAUGGAUAACUGUGGUAAUUCUAGAGCUAAUACAUGCCCAAAAGCCCCGCAAGGGGGUGUAUCUGUUAGAUUAAAGACCGUGGCCCCUCGGGGCCUGUGGUGAAUCAUGACAACUGCUCGAAGCUCAUGGCCUCGCGCCGGAGCUGCUUCAUUCAAAUACCUGCCCUAUCAGCUUUCGAUGGUAAGGUAGUGGCUUACCAUGGCGGUUACGGGUAACGGGGAAUUAGGGUUCGAUUCCGGAGAGAGAGCCUGAGAAACGGCUCUCAUAACUAAGGUUAGCAGCAGGCGCGCAAAUUAUCCGCUUCCGAUACGGAGAGAUAGUGACAAUAAAUAACAAUAGAGGGCUCUUUUGGUCUUCUAAUUGGAAUGAGUACAAUCUAAAUCCCUUAACGAGGAUCAAUUGGAGGGCAAGUCUGGUGCCAGCAGCCGCGGUAAUUCCAGCUCCAAUAACGUAUAUUAAAUUUGUUGACGUUAAAAAGCUCGUAGUCGACUUUCGGCCCUAGCUGGCCGGUCCGCYYUUUUGAGUGUGUACUGGACCCAGCUGGGGCUUUACCYCCUGGUGAACUGGCAUGUYCUUUAUUGGGCGUGUCAGGGAACCCGGAAUUUUACUUUGAAUAAAUCAGAGUGUUCAAAGCAGGCAUGUUUGCCCGAAUGUUACAGCAUGGAAUAAUAGAAUAGGAUGUGUGCCUCUAUUGGUCUUUUAGAGGCACCUUAAUGAGAAAUAGGGGCGGCUCGGGGGCAUUUGUAUUCAAUUGCUAGAGGUGAAAUUCUUGGAUUUAUUGAAGACAAACUACUGCGAAAGCAUUUGCCAAGGACGCUUUCAUUGAUCAAGAACGAAGGUCGGGGGAUCGAAAACGAUUAGAUACCGUUGUAGUCUCGACAGUAAACUAUGCCGAUGGGCGAUUGGCGAGGGUUUUUUUAAUGACCUCGUCAGCAGCCAAAGAGAAAUCUUGAAUUAGGUUCGUGGGGGAGUACGGUCACAAGGCUGAAACUUAAAGGAAUUGACGGAAGGGCACCACCAGGAGUGGAGCCUGCGGCUUAAUUUGACUCAACACGGGGAAACUCACCAGGUCCAGACACAAAAAGGAUUGACAGAUUGAUAGCUCUUUCUUGAUCUUGUGGUUGGUGGUGCAUGGCCGUUCUUAGUUGGUGGAGUGAUUUGUCUGCUUAAUUGCGAUAACGAACGAGACCUUAACCUGCUAAAUAGCCCGGCCGGCUUUGGCUGGCCGCUGGCUUCUUAGAGGGACUUUCAGCUUUUAGCUGAAGGAAGUUUGAGGCAAUAACAGGUCUGUGAUGCCCUUAGAUGUUCUGGGCCGCACGCGCGCUACACUGACAGAGACAGCGAGUUUUUUUCCUUGGCCGGAAGGUCUGGGUAAUCUUGUGAAACUCUGUCGUGAUGGGGAUAGAGCAUUGCAAUUAUUGCUCUUCAACGAGGAAUUCCUUGUAAGCGCAAGUCAUCAGCUUGCGUUGACUACGUCCCUGCCCUUUGUACACACCGCCCGUCGCUACUACCGAUUGAGUGGCUUAGUGAGGUCUUCGGAUUGGCGCUUGGGAGCUGGCAACGGCACCCGAGUGCUGAAAAGUUGCACGAACUUGGUCAUUUAGAGGAAGUAAAAGUCGUAACAAGGUU
rnacentral:rRNA from 1 species